UCAAAUACAUAACUCUAAACCCAAAUAUAAAUUCUAAACCCAAAUAGAAUGAAAUAAAAUAAAUAAUAUGGUAUAUAUUGGUAAAAUUAUGAAAUGUCUAUAAUUUCGUAGAAGAAGUUGAUGUUGAUCCCAACUAUACCUCCUCAUCUUCUAAAUACUAAAGCCUAAACUAUAUUCACUAAUCCCUAAACUCAAAUAUAAACCAUAAACCCAAAUAGAAUGUAACAAAAUAAAUAGCAUGGUAUAUAUUGGUGAAAUUAUGAAAUAUCUAUGAUUUCAUGGAAAAGGUUAAUGUGACCCAACUGUACCCAACUAUACCCUAAACUUUAAUCCCUAAACCCUAAAUAUAAACCCUACACGGAAAUAUAAACCCUAAUCCAAUGUCAACCCCAAUCUUUCAUAAACUAAACCCGAAUGGAACAAAAUGAUGAAAUAUCUAUGAUUUCAUGGAAGAAGUUAAUGCUGAUCCCCCAACCAUAUCCCCUCACCUUCUAAAUACUAAACCCUAAAUUAUAUUCACUAAACCCUAAACCAAAAUAUAAACCCUAAACCCAAAUAUAAAUCCUAAACCCAAAUAUCAAAGUC
rnacentral:lncRNA from 1 species